rnacentral:pre_miRNA from 1 species
UAGUGACUCCCUCCGUCCCAAAAUUCUUGUCUUAGAUUUGUCUAGAUACGGAUAUAUCUAACACUAAAACGUGACUUGAUACAUCCGUAUUUAGAUAAAUCUAAGACAAGAAUUUGGGACGGAGGGAGUAUUAU